AUGGCUUCUCCCGCUGUCAAAUUCGCCGCCGUCGUGCUCCUGGCCGCCCUCUGUGCCACGGCGCUGGCCCCGGGCAUAUCGGGGCAGCCGACUGAUGACGGGCUAGCAAUGUGCAUCGCGCGCUGCGGGUGUGUGCCCUGCCCGAAAGGGAGGUUCUGCCCCGCCGUGUGCACGACCCCGCCUGCCUGCAAGGCCAAAUGCGAGUCCGGCUAG
rnacentral:rRNA from 1 species